CAGAAGCGUGCACGGAUGACACAGUGAACACCCGAAAAGAGAAAUUAAAGAAAAUGGGGAGGUGCUUUAUUUGCCUACGACCACGACACAUCGCAAAGGUUUGCAAAACAAAGGGUGUGUCAUGCACUGCUUGUGGCAGAAGACACCACGCUACAUUGUGUGACAAGGCCAAACAAGCAGAAGCCCCCAAUGACACUGAAGGUUCUACAGAUGCACUAAUUUCAUCCGUUAUGCCCCGUACUGCAAACACACACACGAAGGGUCAGAAUACUGUGCUCUUGCAAACAGUGAGAGCAUGGACUGAAGGACCCAGCGGACGGAAGGCGGUGCGCUGUUUAAUGGAUGGUGGGAGCCAACAAAGUUUCAUCCACGAGAAGCAGGUAAAGAUUUUGGGUCUGCCAGUUCAAAGGAGGGAGACUCUAAAGUUGCAUACCUUUGGUUGUGAGAACCCGGUAACGGCUGUGAGAAAUGUUGUAAAAUUAGUGCUGGAGAAUGUCUGGAAUAAGGAACAGAAAAUAGAGAUUGAAGCCAUUGAGACACCGCAAGUGUGCACUGCAAUUAUGAAGGUGCCUGGUGAACACAUUCGACACCAGCUAGAGAAGAGAGGCCUACCACUAGCAGAUGUCUCAGUCGAUAGCAGGGAAGAGCCAGAAAUAUCCGUACUGAUUGGCGCCGAUUACUACUGGAGGAUAUUGUCAGGAAGAGUAGAGCGAAUAUCAGAAGCCCUAGUAGCUGUAGAAACAAUAUUUGGCUGGGCAGUACAGGGACCAGUCUCUGCUUCAAAUAUGGGUGAGGUUGCUUGUAUGAACAUUGGAAUAAGUGAAUGCAAUGAAGUCUCAAAGCAGCUGCGCAUGUUCUGGGAAUUGGAUUCCCUUGGCAUAACACAGGGAGAUGGGGACAGCGCAGAUGACCGCGAAGCUAGACAGAGCUUUGAGGAGUCAGUCAAAUAUAUUGGAGGGCGAUAUGAGGUAGGGUUACCGUGGAAGCAAAAUGCCCCACACCUCCCAGACAAUUUCAGAAUUGCCCAGAAAAGACUCGAUGGACUGCAGAGGAAACUGAGAACCGAUGUAGUAUUGUUCAAGAGAUACAAUGAUGUCAUUGAGGAUUAUCUACAGCAGGGGGUGUGUGAAGAUGUCCCAGAAAACAACUGUUCACAGGUGACGGAGGACAAUGUAAUGUAUUACUUGCCCCAUCAUGCUGUUAUCAGAGAAGACAAAAUGACAACUAAACUGAGAGUGGUCUUUGAUGCCUCCUCUCAUGAGCGUGGCAGUCCAUCUCUUAACGAUUGUUUACUGACCGGUCCAAACCUUAAUCCAGACCUUUUAAGCAUUUUAGUGAAAUUUAGACUGCAUCCAGUUGCAUUCACAGCAGACAUUACAAGGGCUUUCCUACAGAUAUCCAUUGCAACGAAAGACAGAGAUGCCUUAAGAUUUUUAUGGAUAACAGGACCACCUGACACUGAGAACACAAGGCCACGCAAGAUGAGGAUGACUCGUGUCGUGUUUGGGGUUUCUUCAAGCCCAUUCCUGCUAGCAGCCACUAUCCGGCAUCAUCUACAAGGGUACAGAAACAGCCAUCCACAUGCUGUUAACAUUCUAGAAACCUGCCUUUAUGUAGAUGAUCUGAUUGCCAGCGCAGAGGAUAUUGACGAGGCUUAUAUGUUGACAUCAGGAGCAAAGGAGAUCUUGUCCACAGCCAGCAUGAACUUGUGUAAGUGGACGACGAAUUCCGCAGAACUGAAGGCUAAGUGGCUGAAUCGUGGAUUUGAAUGUAUGCCAGAACCUGAAGCACAUGGUUGCGUGCUAAAGGUGCUUGGGUUGGUGUGGAGGCCAGCUAGUGAUGAUUUUGUCUUUGACCUUAGACAACUGAUGAGCAUCUUAAAGGAGCAGGGUAACACGAAAAGAAGCGUCCUAAAAUCAUCAGCUAGAAUAUUCAAUCCCAUAGGUUUCCUGGCACCAUUCACUAUACGAGUUAAGUGCCUUUUCCAAGACAUGUGGCAAAGGGGCUUAGGAUGGGACGAGGAGCUGCCAGAAGACCUCAGUCAUGAGUGGCAACAAUGGUGCAUGGAGCUCCCACAGCUGCAUCAGAUUGCCAUUCCGAGGUGGUACGGAGUAAGCGACUGGCAGAAUGCGCAAUCCCCACUUCUUCAUGUCUUCAGUGAUGCCAGUGAAAGGGCAUAUGGAGCAGUUGCAUACCUCCAAGGACGAACUAAGGAUGGAAGAACUGUCACCAGUUUUGUUGCAUCCAAAUCGAGAGUGGCUCCCAUAAGGAAACUAACUCUACCACGUUUGGAGUUGAUGGGAG
rnacentral:lncRNA from 1 species